rnacentral:rRNA from 1 species
GACGAACGCUGGCGGCGUGCUUAACACAUGCAAGUCGAACGGAAAGGCCCUGCUUUUGUGGGGUGCUCGAGUGGCGAACGGGUGAGUAACACGUGAGUAACCUGCCCUUGACUUUGGGAUAACUUCAGGAAACUGGGGCUCAUACCGGAUAGGAGCUCCUGCUGCAUGGUGGGGGUUGGAAAGUUUCGGCGGUUGGGGAUGGACUCGCGGCUUAUCAGCUUGUUGGUGGGGUAGUGGCUUACCAAGGCUUUGACGGGUAGCCGGCCUGAGAGGGUGACCGGCGACAUUGGGACUGAGGUACGGCGCAGACGGCUACGGGAGGCAGCAGUGGAGAAUAUUGCAGAAUGGGCGGAAGCCUGAUGCAGCAACGCCGGGUGCGGGAUGACGGCCUUCGGGUUGUAAACCGAUUUCGCCGGUGACGAAGCGUGAGUGACGGUAAUUGGUAAGGAAGCACCGGCUAACUACGUG